AUUUAUAUAAUAUAUAUAUUAGUAUACUUAACUUCCAAUUAAAAAGAUUAACUAAAUUAAUGUAAAUA
rnacentral:tRNA from 1 species